UACGUAGGGGGCAAGCGUUGUCCGGAAUCAUUGGGCGUAAAGCGCGUGUAAGCGGUUUCGUAAGUCUGCUGUGAAAGUCGGAGGCUCAACCUUCGAAAGCCGGUGGAUACUGUGAGGCUUGAGUACGGAAGAGGAGAGUGGAAUUCCUGGUGUAGCGGUGAAAUGCGCAGAUAUCAGGAGGAACACCAACGGCGAAGGCAGCUCUCUGGGACGUUACUGACGCUGAGACGCGAAAGCGUGGGGAGCAAACAGG
rnacentral:rRNA from 1 species